GGAUAACAGGUUGAUAUUCCUGUACCACCUAUAAUCGUUUUAAUCGAUGGGGGGACGCAGUAGGAUAGGCGAAGCGUGCGAUUGGAUUGCACGUCUAAGCAGUAAGGCUGAGUAUUAGGCAAAUCCGGUACUCGUUAAGGCUGAGCUGUGAUGGGGAGAAGACAUUGUGUCUUCGAGUCGUUGAUUUCACACUGCCGAGAAAAGCCUCUAGAUAGAAAAUAGGUGCCCGUACCGCAAACCGACACAGGUAGUCAAGAUGAGAAUUCUAAGGUGAGCGAGCGAACUCUCGUUAAGGAACUCGGCAAAAUGACCCCGUAACUUCGGGAGAAGGGGUGCUCUUUAGGGUUAACGCCCAGAAGAGCCGCAGUGAAUAGGCCCAAGCGACUGUUUAUCAAAAACACAGGUCUCUGCUAAACCGUAAGGUGAUGUAUAGGGGCUGACGCCUGCCCGGUGCUGGAAGGUUAAGAGGAGUGGUUAGCUUCUGCGAAGCUACGAAUCGAAGCCCCAGUAAACGGCGGCCGUAACUAUAACGGUCCUAAGGUAGCGAAAUUCCUUGUCGGGUAAGUUCCGACCCGCACGAAAGGCGUAACGAUUUGGGCACUGUCUCAACGAGAGACUCGGUGAAAUCAUAGUACCUGUGAAGAUGCAGGUUACCCGCGACAGGACGGAAAGACCCCGUGGAGCUUUACUGUAGCCUGAUAUUGAAAUUCGGCACAGCUUGUACAGGAUAGGUAGGAGCCUUUGAAACGUGAGCGCUAGCUUACGUGGAGGCGCUGGUGGGAUACUACCCUAGUUGUGUUGGCUUUCUAACCCGCACCACUUAUCGUGGUGGGAGACAGUGUCAGGCGGGCAGUUUGACUGGGGCGGUCGCCUCCUAAAAGGUAACGGAGGCGCUCAAAGGUUCCCUCAGAAUGGUUGGAAAUCAUUCAUAGAGUGUAAAGGCAUAAGGGAGCUUGACUGCGAGACCUACAAGUCGAGCAGGGUCGAAAGACGGACUUAGUGAUCCGGUGGUUCCGCAUGGAAGGGCCAUCGCUCAACGGAUAAAAGCUACCCCGGGGAUAACAGGCUUAUCUCCCCCAAGAGUUCACAUCGACGGGGAGGUUUGGCACCUCGAUGUCGGCUCAUCGCAUCCUGGGGCUGUAGUCGGUCCCAAGGGUUGGGCUGUUCGCCCAUUAAAGCGGUACGCGAGCUGGGUUCAGAACGUCGUGAGACAGUUCGGUCCCUAUCCGUCGUGGGCGUAGGAAAUUUGAGAGGAGCUGUCCUUAGUACGAGAGGACCGGGAUGGACAUACCUCUGGUGUACCAGUUGUCGUGCCAACGGCAUAGCUGGGUAGCUAUGUGUGGACGGGAUAAGUGCUGAAAGCAUCUAAGCAUGAAGCCCCCCUCAAGAUGAGAUUUCCCAACUUCGGUUAUAAGAUCCCUCAAAGAUGAUGAGGUUAAUAGGUUCGAGGUGGAAGCAUGGUGACAUGUGGAGCUGACGAAUACUAAUCGAUCGAAGACUUAAUCAA
rnacentral:rRNA from 1 species